CUGGACGGCGUGCCUAACACAUGCAAGUCGAGCGCGUCUGAUUUGAUGCUUGCAUUGAUGAAAGAUGAGCGGCGGACGGGUGAGUAACGCGUGGGUAACCUGCCCUAUACACAUGGAUAACAUACUGAAAAGUUUACUAAUACAUGAUAAUAUAUAUUUACGGCAUCGUAGAUAUAUCAAAGUGUUAGCGGUAUAGGAUGGACCCGCGUCUGAUUAGCUAGUUGGUGAGAUAACUGCCCACCAAGGCGACGAUCAGUAGCCGACCUGAGAGGGUGAUCGGCCACAUUGGAACUGAGACACGGUCCAAACUCCUACGGGAGGCAGCAGUGGGGAAUAUUGCACAAUGGGCGCAAGCCUGAUGCAGCAACGCCGCGUGAACGAUGAAGGUCUUCGGAUCGUAAAGUUCUGUUGCAGGGGAAGAUAAUGACGGUACCCUGUGAGGAAGCCCCGGCUAAAUACGUGCCAGCAGCCGCGGUAAUACGUAUGGACCGAGCGUUGUCCGGAAUCAUUGGGCGUAAAGGGUACGUAGGCGGCCUAGUAAGUUAGAAGUUAAAGAAUAUAGCUCAACUAUAUAAAGCUUUUAAAACUGUAGGCUUGAGAGAUGGAAGGGAAAGUGGAAUUCCUAGUGUACGGUGAAAUGCGCAGAUAUUUCGGAACGAAUACCGGUGGCGACGGCGACUUUCUGGUCAAUCAUCUGACGCUGAGGUACACACGUGGAUUAGCAAACAGGAUAAAUACC
rnacentral:rRNA from 1 species